GACAGAAAAUCACAAGUCUAAUCUUCUAAAGAAAGAGAAUGAUCUGGAUGAGCUUCAAAAGUACAAAUACGAUCUUUUGAACACAUCUGCAGUAUUUAUCAACACAUACUGUGGGAGAAACUGUGGGAUUUCAUGUUUCUUGCACAAAUGUAGCAGAGGUAGAAAUAGUGUAUUUGGCAUUAGAUUUGCAUUAAGACAUGUUUACAGAUUUUCAAUAAUAGCCUUGGUGUUGGACACUGCAAGUUAAGACUAAGGGGGGGUGGGUCAAAAUAGCAAAUUUCCAAAUGCUUUCCUGUAAGAUAAAAAUGUGUUCAAAGUUUUGGGCAUCCGUUUUAGAACUGUAUAUUUAGUAUUUCUCAGUUUAGCUAUAUUUGAUUCUGUUGGUUAAAAAAUUUAAUAUUUUUAAAACUGUUCCUAUGGUUGCCUAGAUACAGUUGAAAGCAUACCAGUUCUUGUCAGCAGGGCUUAUGUUAAAGUAAAAAGAAACAGUGUGGAGGAAGAAAGGUCAGCAGUUGACAAAUUAACAGUACACAGUUGGAAAAAUGAGUAGUGAACAGUAAACAUGCUAUAAAUAAUCAAUGCCAAUAAAGAAUAGUCAGAGAAAAUCUGGUAAUAAUGGUGUUGCAGAUAUAGUGAGUUUAAAAUGAAUCAGAAAAGGCUUGACAUGAAGUAUUUGGUAUUGAUAUGGAACAUGAAAAAGAGGAAAGGAAACAUUCUAGCGAAGUUUGAGGCAUUGUAUGAUCUAGGGAAAAAGAAGUAGAAGAAGCAAAGGGGGGGACCAAAUAGAAAAUAAACUUAUAUUGAACAGAAACAAUAACAAUUUUGAUUUUAACAAAUUUGAGAAUAUAUGAUGUUAAGAAAACAGUUUUUCUUCAACAGUAAAUAGCAAUAGGAUUUUGUAACCAGAUGGUUGAAGAAGACAUAAAGGUAUAAAACUAAGAUGGCUAGACUAUAAAAUGGUGUAGAUAAAAGGAAUUUACUGAAAGAAGAAAGAGUAAUCCAGAUAUAUUUCUUUGGAAUAUACAUAAAGCUUCAAAAAGACUGUCCCUACAACAGGAGGACCAGCCUAUACCAUACUCUGCACAAUGGGAACAGAUGUUUGUUAUAGACUUUUAAUGACGUAAUUAACCAAGCAGUUCAAAAAUUUUGUGGGGUGUGAGGGGAGAAACACUAAAACGCAAUUUACAAAUGAUGGUAUCAGACCACUCCAUCUGGAAUGCGUUUCUUGUAAAAGUUAUUAAUAAGGUGUGGUAAGCAAUAGAAGACCUUUAAAUAUGCAAUGUAGAUUUUUUAUUCAUUUUAAUAAUUAAAAAUUCAAAAACUGUCACUUGUGAAAUUGCCUAAAAACUGAACUUUUGUAGCACUCAUUUAACAUUUUAAUAGAUCUUUAGCAUAUAGUUAGAAUCCUAAUAACAUUUUUUGUCUUUUGUGGCAUUUAGUAUACAACAUACUUGUAUUUGCCUCUUGUUAGUGAUGGAGCAGUUCAUUCUAUCUGAAAUUUAGUGGUGCUGUUCACAUAAUUGUUAAUAUGAUAUUUAUAAUUGAAUUAAAAUUUAAUAUAUACAUAUGUGGAAACAUGACAGUUUGGAAAUGAUCUAAGUUACUAAAGUUUUAAAAUGUGAACAAAACGAUGUUUUGCUUUUUUACAUCUAUUAUGGCAAAUACUAGUAAAAUAGCUGUGAAAUUUUGACUUGGACCUUUACAUACUGGUUUUGUAUGUGAAUAUUUCCAGUGAGCUUCAGCUCAUUUAGAGCAAAUAACUUAAUCAUGGAUAUAAGCCAUUAGGUUAUGAGUUUUUUUCCUGUCUUGUUCUGAUUGCCUCUUCUCAUGAUGAACAUUUUAUGAACAUUUUAUGCUGGGAGACUUGAUACUAAAGCAAACACUGAAUAAUUCCAUAGCAAUCCAGAUGUGUUUAAAUUGGCAAGAAGCCACAUGUCUAUUAUCUGCAUGAGUUUAAUGAUUUUUUUUCAUUUUGCUCUUUUGCCUGAUGACAUCUCAGCUGCAGUUUUAGUAGACUGGCUAUUGCAGUCAUAUCUGCAUAAAUUCUUUCUGAAAUACCUAGGAUUACUCCAGAGGCAUUGGUUCCAGGGCUGCAGUUGUUUUCAGAUGAAUCAGAAUUUGAUUGGUCUUAGCACACAUGCUUGACCAGAACAAAUUAUUAUUAUAAAUAUUAAUCAGCAUGUAUUAAUAAAAUCAUUUUUUACUGACUGAAGGUGAGCUUUCAAAAGGAUGGCGUGUUAGUUAAUUGUUGCAUGGUGCUGUUCCAUAAUCUUAGAGUCAUAUUAGUUUAAUUACUUAUUUUUAUUUCCCCAUCCCCAGCUCAGUAAUAAUUUGCAUGAUCACAUGCUUACUUAGAGAAGCAGAGCAGCACUUUCAGUUUAAACUGAAGGAAAUACUUAAGUACUAUAGAAGUCAAUGGGGAUUCAUUGGCAAUUUUUUAGAAUGUGACUUUUAAACUGUAGCCAGUGCUUGAACUUAUUUCAUUUCAUUUAAUUUAGAAACAUUCAAUAGAAAUGGAGCAUGGGCUCUGCAUAUUUCUUAUGCUGGAAUCUAUAGUGAGGUAUCUACAUAGUGUUGGACAUUAAUGUAGUUUAUCUCUAUGAGCAUUUUCCCUUCCUGCAUGGACACUGCACCUCUGUAUAGAAGGAUUUCCAUAAGUCAUAACAGAACCCUGUUUUCCCCCUUCCUCCAUGGUGUGUAUGCACAGGCAUCACACAGGACCAAUAUGGGAAAUAUGAGACCUGGGCAGGAAGGAUUAUGCUAUAUGAAUUUAUACAUAUCAGGAAGCAAAGUGUUCUUGUUCACAAAGUGAAAACAUGUAUUUCUAAAAGAGACAGCAAUACUUUUUUAUAAAGCCAUACUUUUAAGGAAUGGGAUUAAACUGAGAUUGUUUUUGACAAAUUUAAUUUUUGUACAAUAACAAUAUAUUUAUAAAAUGCUGGAAUACAGUUUAUUAUGCUGUGAUCUCAUUUUUAAAAUUCUCAUAAUGAUAGGAUUUUCAUGUUUACACAAGUGUGCCAUGGGGUGGCAAGGGGAAGGGGACUUUUGAAAAUGCAUAGUUUCUUCUGUGUUGAUAUUUGCUGCAAUAAAGUACAGAAGAAUAUUUUCA